GUGGCAUAGGAAUGGGCUGGCAGAGGUGCCCGGGAAGGUGUGGGGCCGCUGGGAAUGGGCUGGCAGAGGUGCCCGGGAAGGUGUGGGGCCGCUGGGACAGAGGGAAAGCAGCAGUGGAACAAAGGGAAAGUAAAGCCGCGCUCCCGCUGCACUUGUGGAACAAAGAAAGUUGCAGCACGAGGUGGCGGCACAUGUUCCCGGGCGGGGAGAGGCCCCUCUGUGGCACCCAGUGGGCGAUGUGGGCCCGGGUGUGUGCUGGGGGGCUGCUCAUCUCCCUCAUAACUAAAAUCAACUUUGAAGCCCGAAAAAGUGUUCGCAGAAGGCGAGCAGCCUGGCUGUGUGGGAAAGUCUUUGUUUGGGAGCAGCAGCCUCACAUUCCAGGGGAAGGGCUACAUAACUUUUAAGGACAGAUCCUUGUAAGCAGAUGUGUGCGUAGCAGUGCGAUCUGUCUGUGCUCCCAGCCGCACACACGCAACUCGGCAAAGUUUUGCGAGCGACUGCCUACAAGUUGCACUUCUUUUGUUCCUCGCCAUGCGCUCCAGCAGGAACGGCCGGUGACAGCACUUGGGGGCCAUUUCCCUACAGGGGAUUUAGGAGCCUGCCGUCUUCUCCUGCCUAAAUCCCCGCUUAUUCCCUGUACAUGAGCCGUUUGUACUUUGUUGGAGAGUUCAGUAUGUAACUGUGCUACUCCCUGCCGGGUCACUGCUUCAACUAUUAGCCAAACUCUCACAUUUUCCUGGCCAUAUUGUUUUAAUAUUGCCUUUCGAUAUCUUUGUGUGUUUGGCAGCCACUUUCUCAAUACUGAGAACUAAGUUGAGCUAUAAAACAAAAGUCUGCUGAGAUUUUUGUGUUGGUUCCCUUGUUGUGCGAGAGAGUGCCAUGUGAGUGGGACUGUGUGGGAGUGUGUGGCUCGGCAUUGUUCCGCACAAGACAGCGGGGCACGUUGGGAGCUGAGGAGCAGGGUGACAGGGAGGGGGCAGUGCUGCUGCUGCUGACAGAUCAGGAUGUGACAAAAUGCUGCCAGAUGCCUGAAACUUUCUAACUCCGCCCCCAACUCCCUGCAAUAACCAGCAGCACUUGGGCAUGUUGGGAUCUUUUGUUCUGCUCAGCAGAAGGAGAGGGGGGAGCAGGCACAUACUUUAUUGCUUUGACUGGUUUUAGCAUUAUAGAUAUUUAGACCCUAUAUCCCUUCUGCCUUGCGUUUAGUCACAAAAAUCAAAACCUUUUCAAAUUCAAUUCUUUGUACCCUUAAAGCAGUGCUAUUUGUCUGUGACUGUUAGAAUUGUAGCAAAGUAUCCCAUACACAUUUCAGCUUUUCUUUUGCAUCUGAUAUGUUAUUUUGCUAGUUCUGUUGCACAAGACCCAAGUUGGGGAACUUUGUACCUUAAAUAGGGGGAACUAUCCGGCUGUGGCGGCCUGGAAAGUCCCAUGGAUUCCGCGCUCGCACGUUGGAGGAUAAGCAUAUUUGCUGCCUGGCCAGCCUGUUGCAGUUUUUCCCUAUGACAACACGCUGACAUUUUGGCAGGCAGCCAGAGAAGCAGUGAAUUAAGAAUGCUGUCAGUUUUCCCUGUUUACAUUGCAAAUGUGCAAUCUACUUUUUUCACAUGCCAGGAUUACUUGAUUCAAAACAAACCGUUGCUCUGUAAUUCAGUAAUCUUGUUAUAGCUAAUUAGUUUGUAGCUCUUGUCAUUUUUUGUUGUAAAAAAAUAAAUCGCAGUGACCCCUUUGCAAAGAGUUAUGGUUACUCAGUAGUAAAAAUCCGGUGACCUUAAGGACUGUUGUGUUCAUACUGCAUCUGUGUAUCAGUGGUCUGAUGGGCAAUUCAAAUGCCCAAUUCCCAUGCCUUGUUAGUAGGGCCGACAUGGCGAGCUUGUCUGACUGUGCAGUCCCAGCACAGACCCCUGUGUAAUUUAUUCAAUCUGUGGAUGAUGUUAGGCCUCAUUUGUGCGUCUCUGCAUCUGUUACAUUCAUUGGAUCUGUCAGGUCAGAUCACACAGUUCUGCGAGAAGUGGAUCUAACUGUUACCUAUGGGAUAUGGAUGCAUCAGAAUCAGAUUCAGCUUUUCUCUGCACGUGCGCCUGAUUUCCAUGGAUCAUGGACUGUCGCACAACCAUGAGUCCAGCUGUUGAACAGAUACACAGUGCUACAACUACUUUUGGCGUCUAGUUUGUAUCAUGGCUACUAAGUUCAUAUAGACCCACCCAAUCUCUGUACGUGUAAAGGGGAAGGUUGGUAUUUGGCCAGUUGAAGUAAAGAGCUCAAUCUGACUUUGUCUGAUGAGGAUUAAGGAAAGUCACUAGUGUGUGUUUGCCCCCCAAUCCCAUGGCACUUUGUGCAUUCGAUGCAACAUCACAGGGAAGUUAUUGGUGGGUGCAACUGCUUCCCUCAUAAGUAAGACUGUCAGCUGAGGCUUGUUUCAGAGUGGCUAAUAAAACCAAUUGACUUAUUCUUUAAAAACUUACUUUUGAAAAAUAUGUUGGCAGUCAUUGUCUCAAUUGGAUCAUAACUAACUGUACCAUUACUCAGAUUUAUCCUUUAAGGCACCCACACAUGGUUUUUUCAUUGCCCAUCCUUACGUUUUAAUGACAUCUGUCAGUGUCACCUUUUUAACCUCACUGGCAGAAUUGGGUUAAUCCUUUGGGCAUACUAUUGGCCUAUAACAUAUUGUGGCGGAGACCUCUCUUGUUCCCUUAUGGUUUAGGGUCAGUGGAUUCAAAGCCAUAUGUCAAAAAUGACUAUCACCUUCUGGAAUAGUAUGCAGUAAAGGAGAUGCAAUUUUGUGGACAUCUCACCCGUAUUUCUGGUGUCACGAUUUUAAUAUAAAAACCGUUGCUCUGGGGCCAGGAUAAGACACAUGGGUAUCUGGCCAAAAGCUUCAUCUCCUGCAGAUCCUCUGACAUUGUAUACGGUCUGUGCAUUCAGCAGCCCACAUUCCAUGUGAACACAAUGAGGCAAAUUGUUCUGCAAGAUGACCCUAGAAAAUCUGCAGUAGUUUAACAGCUAAACAGGAAAGGAAAUUGCUUUGAAUGCAAUCAUAUGGCAGAGGAACAAAGCACCUUUUUUGGCAUUUUUACAAGCUGAAUGCAAAGUAAAUACCAUUUUCUAAGGAAAGCGGGCCUUUAUGUUAUUUGUUUUCACCAGUAUUGUAGAUAGAUGUGAAGAGUAGUAUAAACUUAAUAAAGCUGUAGCACUUAGCUAUGUGUGUAUAUUGUUUGGCCCAAUUUCACUGUCCACGACUAAUAUUCCUUUCUGUUUCUAAGGCCA